rnacentral:misc_RNA from 1 species
UCCACCUCAGCUCAAUUUGCU